rnacentral:tRNA from 9 species
GCGCCCGUAGCUCAGCUGGAUAGAGCGCCGCCCUCCGGAGGCGGAGGUCAGAGGUUCGAAUCCUCUCGGGCGCGCCA